UUGGCCUCGAUCAAAGCUGAAGCUGUUGGUUUUAAGCAAACGCCUGCAGAAACGUCUUUCCGUGGCCGGUUGCCCAUUUCAGAACUUUGGAAACCCCAUGGUCAAUUCAUCAGAAAGAAACAUCG
rfam:Ictidomys tridecemlineatus contig073585, whole genome shotgun sequence.